UCUCGGGGUCGUGGGUUCGAAUCCCUCUGGAGGCU
rnacentral:sRNA from 1 species